CUCUUCUCUGUGUUCUGUGAUAGGCACUGCGGAUUCAGCAGAGACUAAAUCAAAGUCCUUGAUCUCGGAGAGCACAUAUUUCAUCUAAUUGAAUUCACAUACCAGCCUUAUGAGGAGGUGUUCUUCCUGUUUCAGAACUGAAGGAAAAGCUGAACAGGCGGUCUUUGGAAAGGACAGAAGCCAGGAUAGUUCCAGCAUCCAGGCAGCAGACACCAAUGGUCAGUGCUUCUACUUUGGAUCAAAAAGAGAGAACUCCAAUAGGCUUAGGGUGGGUCAGGUGCUCACACUCAUCUGAGGAAGGGGAGGGUCCCUUGAGGAAUAGUACCAUAGACUACCCAAUGUUGGAGGAUAAUGGCCCCAACGCAAAAAUGGGAUCUUGCCACCAGACAAAUGGGAUAUAGAUGCCAGGCUGCAAAAUCCAACAAAUGUACACGUGCCCAAAUCCCGACUCCAUCACUAAUAGCCAUGCAAUCCUCUGACUAUCAAUUAGAUUAAUUGACACUCUUUUUUCUCUCGCUACUGUGGUACAUGCAGUAGUUACCUUUAUUCUUCACUUUGUUUUCUCAUAAGACUAACAAGCAGUUUUUUAAAAUAAAGAAAUAAAAGCAAAA
rnacentral:lncRNA from 1 species